AUGAUUACAAAUAAUUCAAUAUUCUUUAAAAUAAAAUUGUUUUUUUAUAUUAAUAUUUAAAUCAUUUUCUUUGAAAAUCGAUACAAUGGAUUCUUCACUCUGAAAAUUAAGAACUCAUAAUAAUAGACAAACCACAAACAAUGUUGGACAUGAAUUUGAAGGUGUGAUUAUAGCUUGUGUAAUUUAUAAUGAAAUUUAACCUAUUGGUGAUCAAUAAAUUAACAAUUUUGGAUGACAAGUGGUAAAUUAUUACGACAAAAAAUCUAUAUUUGUCAAAAGCAGACAUAGAAUUUUUCAGCAAAAACUACUUAUGGAUUUUAGCAUCUAAAAAAUGGAUUUUUAAAGCUGGUAUUCAACUUGAGAGAAUAUUAAACCAAAUGUUUAUUGAUGGUUUUUAACAAUAAUAAUAGACAAAGAUGUCCUACGGCUGUUGUUGAAGAAAAGAAAAACAAAUACUAUGCAAAACCUGUGGUGAAUCUUAACAGAAAAAUACCUCAUAUUCUGCCAAAAUAAGAAAAAGCCAUUAGAAGUUCAGAUUACUUAAAUGAAGCUCUAAACCCACAAGAAGAAAACUAGUUGAAGCUGUGUACUACGAAUAAAAAAUAGUUAUAAUAAUUAUAGUUUGUUAAUACUAUUUUAAAAAAAAAAUAA